rnacentral:rRNA from 1 species
ACGAUCCUUCGGGAUAGUAGCGGACGGGUGAGUAACACGUGGGAACGUGCCUUUAGGUUCGGAACAACACAGGGAAACUUGUGCUAAUACCGGAUAAGCCCUUCGGGGGAAAGAUUUAUCGCCUUUAGAGCGGCCCGCGUCUGAUUAGCUUGUUGGUGAGGUAAAGGCUCACCAAGGCUACAAUCAGUAGCUGGUCUGAGAGGAUGGCCAGCCACAUUGGGACUGAGACACGGCCCAAACUCCUACGGGAGGCAGCAGUGGGGAAUCUUGCGCAAUGGGCGAAAGCCUGACGCAGCCAUGCCGCGUGGAUGAUGAAGGUCUUAGGAUUGUAAAAUCCUUUCAGCGGGGACGAUAAUGACGGUACCCGCAGAAGAAGCCCCGGCUAACUUCGUGCCAGCAGCCGCG